GCGCACGUGGUGGAAUUGGUAGACACGCCAGGUUGAGGGCCUGGUGCCCGUAAAAGGGCGUGGAGGUUCGACUCCUCUCGUGCGCA
rnacentral:tRNA from 1 species